CCGUCCUCUCACACCUCACCCCUCUGUCAGUCCUUACAUUGGCUUCCUGUAUCCUAUAGAAGUCAAUUCAAAGUGCUAACCCAUAAAGCACUGAACAAUUCUAGCCCCUCUUAUAUCUCCUCACAGAUCCAUAGGUAUGCCUUUCCACGUUCCCUCCGCUCUGCCCAUGACCACCUCCUGACUGCUGCUUGCACCCGUAUGGCCAAC